GUGUUUACUACAGCUCCACAUACACUGAAAUUCGAAGGAUGCCGAGAGGACUGGCUAGGCCCCUGUGGAAGGAUGACACAUAUUCCAUAUUUUU
rnacentral:snRNA from 1 species